CACGCUUCGAAACCUCGGCACAUCAGGUCACAUCACUAGUCGGCACGUCUGGUAGCAUCUCUGGCUGCUGUUGACCUUGUUUUUGGAGUAAAACACGGUGGAAGCUGAAUUAGUGAGGAUGACUCCUGCUCCUGUCAUCUCUAAGCUCCUCACACAUCUUUACCUGCACAUGAGGAAAAUCACUCCUGUAGAAUGCAGUUUAGGCUGUUAGAUUGUUCCAGAUAAGACAAGUACAAGAUUCUUCAGAGCCGUUCUACCACAAGCCCGACAGGAAGAACUCCAACAGCUACUGAAUGUUCCUGUGGUCCCCUCAAGGCUACAGGAGGAGCCCUACGAGG
ensembl:lncRNA